rnacentral:rRNA from 1 species
AUACGGAGGGUGCAAGCGUUAUUCGGAAUCACUGGGCGUAAAGGACACGUAGGCGGGAAGCCAAGUCUGAUGUGAAAUCCUACAGCUUAACUGUAGAACUGCAUUGGAAACUGGUUACCUAGAGUAUGAGAGGGGGAGAUGGAAUUAGUGGUGUAGGGGUAAAAUCCGUAGAUAUCACUAGGAAUACCUAAAGCGAAGGCGAUCUCCUGGAACAUUACUGACGCUAAGGUGUGAAAGCGUGGGGAGCAAACGGUAUUAGAAACCCUAGUAGUCC